rnacentral:tRNA from 1 species
GGUAGCCGUACUGGAAAGUGUGGCUGGAUCACCUCCUUUCUAAGAGAAAGGGAUUAUUUAAGUGUAAAUUAUAAUUUAACUCUUCCUUUGUCUUUUCUAAGACUUUUUUUGGGGGUUUAGCUCAGUUGGUUUAGAGCAUCGGCUUUGCAAGCCGGGGGUCAAGGGUUCGAGUCCCUUAACCUCCAUUUAUUUUAAUAUUAAAAUAAAUGGAGGUUGUUGUCUUAAAUAGCAAUGUAUCAUUUCAGUGAUGAUUGAGUUUAAAGCUAAGAAAAUCCUAUUAAAUUUGAUAUUUAAGUUCUAUUAAUUUUCUUUAUGUGAGCAGCAUUAUUCACAUGUGUUCAAUAUUAUGAAUAUAAUUUAGUCUUAUGUUAUGUUGUUAUUAUAAUAAAUUCUUUAUUGUGAGUGUUCAAUUGAUGGCUGAUUUACUCACUGAGUUUUAAUUAUAUCUU